rnacentral:rRNA from 1 species
CAGCAGCAGCCACGGGAAUACGGAGGGUGCAAGCGUUAAUCGGAAUUACUGGGCGUAAAGCGCACGCAGGCGGUCUGUCAAGUCAGAUGUGAAAUCCCCGGGCUUAACCUGGGAACUGCAUUUGAAACUGGCAGGCUAGAGUCUUGUAGAGGGGGGUAGAAUUCCAGGUGUAGCGGUGAAAUGCGUAGAGAUCUGGAGGAAUACCGGUGGCGAAGGCGGCCCCCUGGACAAAGACUGACGCUCAGGUGCGAAAGCGUGGGGAGCAAACAGGAUUAGAUACCCCUGUAGUCCCUGUCUCUUAUAC